rnacentral:lncRNA from 1 species
CUAGCUGUUUUUCAUAGUUUGUUUUGCCAGAUUAGGGGUGUUUCAUGGAUAAAUUUUGAUGCUGUUUUUGCUGGUUUUGAGCUGAAGUUUCAGCUUACUUCAUGGAGUUUUUAGGGGCUGAUUUGGGAGCUUCGAUGUGGUAAUAUUAAUGGAGGAGAACGGGCUGGGAGUUACGGUUCUUUGGUUGUAUUUAUGGCUAUGACUGCUAUGCUUAGGCGUUGGAGAAGAUGAAGAAUGGGGACGGGGGUCAUUUCUUUGCGGCGCACGUCCGGUCUCCUCCUCAGAUUUUUUGGCGUAUUUUCCUUGUCCCUUUUC